CAGUAGCCGCGGUAAUACGAAGGGUGCAAGCGUUACUCGGAAUUACUGGGCGUAAAGCGUGCGUAGGUGGUGGUUUAAGUCCGUUGUGAAAGCCCUGGGCUCAACCUGGGAAUUGCAGUGGAUACUGGAUCACUAGAGUGUGGUAGAGGAUAGUGGAAUUUCCGGUGUGGCAGUGAAAUGCGUAGAGAUCGGAAGGAACAUCUGUGGCGAAGGCGACUAUCUGGGCCAACACUGACACUGAGGCACGAAAGCGUGGGGAGCAAACAGGAUUAGAUACCCGCGUAGUCCCUGUCUCUUAUAC
rnacentral:rRNA from 1 species